CAGUCGCCGCGGUAAUGCGUAGGUGGCAAGCGUUGUCCGGAAUUAUUGGGCGUAAAGGGCUCGCAGGCGGUUUCUUAAGUCUGAUGUGAAAGCCCCCGGCUCAACCGGGGAGGGUCAUUGGAAACUGGGAAACUUGAGUGCAGAAGAGGAGAGUGGAAUUCCACGUGUAGCGGUGAAAUGCGUAGAGAUGUGGAGGAACACCAGUGGCGAAGGCGACUCUCUGGUCUGUAACUGACGCUGGGGAGCGAAAGCGUGGGGAGCAAACAGGAUUAGAUACCCCGGUAGUCCCUGUCUCUUAUAC
rnacentral:rRNA from 1 species